AUUGAACGCUGGCGGCAGGCCUAACACAUGCAAGUCGAGCGGCAGCGACUUAACUGAACCUUCGGGGAACGUUAAGGGCGGCGAGCGGCGGACGGGUGAGUAAUGCCUGGGAAUAUGCCCUGAUGUGGGGGAUAACUAUUGGAAACGAUAGCUAAUACCGCAUAAUCUCUUCGGAGCAAAGAGGGGGACCUUCGGGCCUCUCGCGUCAGGAUUAGCCCAGGUGGGAUUAGCUUGUUGGUGAGGUAAUGGCUCACCAAGGCAACGAUCCCUAGCUGGUCUGAGAGGAUGAUCAGCCACACUGGAACUGAGACACGGUCCAGACUCCUACGGGAGGCAGCAGUGGGGAAUAUUGCACAAUGGGGGAAACCCUGAUGCAGCCAUGCCGCGUGUGUGAAGAAGGCCUUCGGGUUGUAAAGCACUUUCAGUAGGGAGGAAGGUAGUGUAGUUAACACCUGCAUUAUUUGACGUUACCUACAGAAGAAGCACCGGCUAACUCCGUGCCAGCAGCCGCGGUAAUACGGAGGGUGCGAGCGUUAAUCGGAAUUACUGGGCGUAAAGCGCAUGCAGGCGGCCUGUUAAGUCAGAUGUGAAAGCCCGGGGCUUAACCUCGGAAUUGCAUUUGAAACUGGCAGGCUAGAGUCUUGUAGAGGGGGGUAGAAUUUCAGGUGUAGCGGUGAAAUGCGUAGAGAUCUGAAGGAAUACCAGUGGCGAAGGCGGCCCCCUGGACAAAGACUGACGCUCAGAUGCGAAAGCGUGGGGGAGCAAACAGG
rnacentral:rRNA from 1 species